rnacentral:rRNA from 1 species
ACACUCCUGCGGGAGGCAGCAGUGAGGAAUAUUGGACAAUGGGUGGAAGCCUGAUCCAGCCAUCCCGCGUGCAGGAAGACGGCCCUAUGGGUUGUAAACUGCUUUUAUCUGGGGAUAAACCUACUUACGUGUAAGUAGCUGAAGGUACCAGAAGAAUAAGCACCGGCUAACUCCGUGCCAGCAGCCGCGGUAAUACGGAGGGUGCAAGCGUUAUCCGGAUUUAUUGGGUUUAAAGGGUCCGUAGGCGGACUGAUAAGUCAGUGGUGAAAUCCGACAGCUUAACUGUCGAACUGCCAUUGGUACUGUGAGGCUUGAGGAAGGUUGAAGUGGCUGGAAUAAGGAGUGUAGCGGUGAAAUGCAUAGAUAUUACGUAGAACACCAAUUGCGAAGGCAGGUCACUAAGUCUUAACCGACGCUGAUGGACGAAAGCGGGGGGAGCGAACAGGAUUAGAAACCCCGGUAGUCCCAUGA